UAGGGAAUCUUCGGCAAUGGACGAAAGUCUGACCGAGCAACGCCGCGUGAGUGAAGAAGGUUUUCGGAUCGUAAAACUCUGUUGUUAGAGAAGAACAAGGACGUUAGUAACUGAACGUCCCCUGACGGUAUCUAACCAGAAAGCCACGGCUAACUACGUGCCAGCAGCCGCGGUAAUACGUAGGUGGCAAGCGUUGUCCGGAUUUAUUGGGCGUAAAGCGAGCGCAGGCGGUUUCUUAAGUCUGAUGUGAAAGCCCCCGGCUCAACCGGGGAGGGUCAUUGGAAACUGGGCGACUUGAGUGCAGAAGAGGAGAGUGGAAUUCCAUGUGUAGCGGUGAAAUGCGUAGAUAUAUGGAGGAACACCAGUGGCGAAUGCGGCUCUCUGGUCUGUAACUGACGCUGAGGCUCGAAAGCGUGGGGAGCAAACAGG
rnacentral:rRNA from 1 species